GACGCGCUGGUGAGGUCUUCCACGGAGCGGGACCACUUCAAGUCCUCUUUAAUGGCCUCGUCCACCACCAGCACCGUUGCUUUAUGAGCCAUGCUCUCCAUCUGGGUUUACAUGCACCUGCUUCACAAUUUGCCUGUAGAUUUUGAGUUUUCAGAACAGCAAGUCUGUAACAAGGCCUUUGUCAUGUGUGACUUCCCAUUCACUUCACCACUUAGCAUCCCCAAAUCAACACUGCAGAUCAGCAGGUUAAUAAUUAAAAGCUACCAUUCAUAAGAUAAACAUGACAGGGCGAAGAGGAAAUCUGCAACGGCAACAGGCCAAGCAGGAUAAUAGAACAAAGUGUUCUGUUGGAUAAUUCAAGGCUCUGCUUCAAGGAAUGAAAAAACCUCUCUUCAGGUAAAAUAUAAAACCAAGUUAACACGCUUUGUCUAUAUUAUGAUUGCUGAGAGGCACAGUGAAACGCAGGCCAGCCUAAGAAAUGGACCUGACAGGAAAAGUUUGCUUUGGUUGAUCAAAUCUUUUAACUGAUGCCUCUGAUGACCCAAAGAGUGCUCAGGUUGAAGCUGUAUGAGAAACUGCAAUGUUUCAAAACACUGUUGCUGGAAAAUAUUGCCCUCAGCAUCCAUUACUCAGAAUACCAACAUAAAGGUAAUUUUCUUCUUAAAAAACUUCACUUUCUUAAAAUCACUGAUCACCAUCAUUUAUUCUGUGUCAAAUAUCUGUGCCAAAUAUAAUGAAACAAUUUAAAUUUAGAAUUCAUAGUCUUGCUUUUCUAACAUCUCAGCCUACUUGUCUGUCUUUGACAGCUGGUAUGUACCAGUGCCAGCUUCAGCUACCUUCUGUUACAACUAGAGCCAGGAACUUUGCUAUUCAGCCCCAUUUUCCAUGGCUUCUUGAAUCAUCUCUAUCCACCGGUCAUCUAACCUUAUGGGAUGACCUUAGGUUACACAGAUCAUCUUGGCUCUGUGAUGCACUGAAAUGUUAGCUCAAGAUGCUCUUAACUAUUUUUAUAACAGUUACAUGAGGGUUUUUUUUCUAUCGUUAAAUAGAAAGUAAAUAGCUAUGGUUAGAAUAAUGGAAUUCUAUUUUUAGCUUUUUCUUUCUUAACUAAGAAAACUGACCUUAUUUAAUAGCUUCCUCUUUAUAGAGCUACCUAAAUUAAUACCAUGUUUGCUAGCUGAAAAAUUAUCAUUAUUCACAGAAUGGAGAGGAGAAGUCUGAUUGUCAGUUUGACGUUGAUUUUUUUUUUUUAAUAUAAAAUGUCUUUUACUUAGC